CGCUUGGUUAACACCUUAAGCGCAGUCAAAGCGAAAAUAUUUUUCACUGUUCAGCAAAGCAGCAUAGGUGAUGCUGGAUAUCCGUUGGAGCCUUGGCUGUUAACACCUCUGGCCAAUUUUCCUGAAGAUACGCGACAACAUCAAUAUACACAACAACUAUGUAAGGCUAGAAGCGUCGUCGAGCGGUUUUUUGGAGUUUUUAAAUCUGUAUGGAGAUGCUUGUCAUACCAGCGAGUCUUGAUGUACGAACCAGCGUUCGCAGCGAAAAUUGUUAAUGCGUGUGCAGUACUGCACAACA
rnacentral:lncRNA from 1 species